AAUGAGCCAAGUGCUUUACAAGGCUGACCUAUUUCAAUCCAACAGCAUACCGAAGAGGGAGGCAUAUUGAUCCCCCUUUUACGGGAAACAGUGAGGUUGAUGCAUUUGCCCAAGAUCACACAGCUCUUGGGGAGUGGAGCCUGACUUUGAAUUUAGGCCGCCCGCCCCCAGAGCCUGUGUUCUUGGCCAUCCUUCUUCGCACCUGGCUUAGAGACCCAGGCUCUGCAUAGAGGGGCCCAGUGAUCUUGGGUUAGUCCCUUAAGCCCCAGCCUAGCAAAAGGGAAAGGAAAUAUCUUCAGCACCCAGUGAGGGGGAGCUCAGAGAGGGGACCCCUUUUACUACAGGGCACACAGCCGGCUGAGCCAGGACCCACCACACUCAACUCCCCGGCCCCUGGCUCCCAGGAGGUGGCUCCUCCAUGGCCGGGAAGGACCCCCACGGCUGCUCCCGCAGGCAGAUGGACAGACGAUGGCCCCCUCCCACGGCCUGCGGGCUGUGUGGCAUCGCCACCUCCUCCCGAGCAGGCUGCCUUUAAGAAACCAGAAGAUUGAUUUCCUGGCAGGCUCUACGCCGAGGAGCCCGUCCAAAUGGUUUGCAUGUCUGCAUUUUUUACUGCUCCGUUUAAUAUGUAUGCAAAUGCCGGCCGGCUGCGCCCGCCGCGCGGCUGCACAGUCACACGCGGCGCCCCAUUAAAGCGGCCGUCCCGGGCGCGCGCCUCAUUCGAGGCGACGGGCUCCGGGCCCUGAUAGAUGGGGUGCGGGGACGGAGACAAAUGACGGCCUUUGGGCUCGGAAUACCCACCUUUCUGGUAAUGCAGCCCAGCGGGUCCCAGCCUCGUUUUCCAGCCCUCACUCAAAAUGGAGUCGCUCUGGUUCGAACGCCUCUGACAAGUGUGUACCUACGUGUCAGGAUUUGCCGGGUGCUGGGCCCCAGAAGCCAGCCCUCCUGACGUGUGGCGGCCGUCCUCACCGCUCCCUCCUUCCCUGCAGCAUUCCCCAGCCCCCGGCCCACCCUCCUCCCACCCGCUUCCUGACCCAGGCUCCCGGGCCUUCCCCUCGUGGCCACCUAGCUGUGUGCUUUGUUUGGCUGCUGUCACCCCCAGGAAGGUGAUCCCCGUGAGAACUCAAAUAGCAGAUGCUCAUCUGGGACCCCCGCCUCCAGCCCCAGGGGAGGUUUCCUGGUCCUCACUGUGGCCGGGGCAUGGCUCCUUCACCCCGGGGCUCACCCUCGGUGUCCGUGAAGUCCAGCCGACGGUGACCCUAAGUCCUCCCUCCACUCGCCUAUGUUUGGGGAUAGCCCAUCCUUCCUGCAGGCCUUUGUCUUGGUGUCACCCUGCCUGAGCUGGCCCCAACCACAGUAGCAACAGUGAUGCUGAUGUGUGACUGCUGCCAGGAGCCUGCUCACAUGACCGUGUGGAGAAAGUUCUUUCCCUGAGGACCAUCUGGAGUGGACGCGUGCACUACCCCUCUCUGAAUACACCCUCCCCACGAGGCCCUCUGGAGCAUCCUGUAGAGCCAGCCCCUACCCAGAGACCCUGAGCCCAGAGAAUGCGCUGGGUGGUGAGCCUGGGGACGAAUGCAGAGCCCUAGGUCUCCUCUCCAGAAGUUGGAGUGCCAUGGUGUGGUCAUAGCCCACUGAAGCCUCAAACCUCUGGGCUGAAGCCAUCCUUCCGCCUCAGCCUCCCAAGUAGCUGGGACCAUAGGUGCAUGGCACUGUGCCUGGCACUGUCUGAAUGCAUACAGCUGCGUAGCAUCGUGGUAAGAACACCCGCCCUGACAUCACACAGACCUGCAUCCACGUCCCAGCUGAGCCUCAGUUCUCACAUCUGCAAAAUGGGGAGAACAACAGCAGCAGCGUCCUGAGGCUGGGGUGAGGACCGAGUGAAAAACCUUUGUCGCAUCUUUGGGCAUCGCAGGAGUUCA
rnacentral:lncRNA from 1 species